GCACAAGCAGCGGAGCGUGUGGUUUAAUUCGAUGUUACACGAAGAACCUUACCAGGGUUUGACAUGCAAGUGGUAGGAAGCCGAAAGGUGACCGACCCUUCGGGGAGCUUGCACAGGUGCUGCAUGGCUGUCGUCAGCUCGUGUCGUGAGAUGUUCGGUUAAGUCCGCUAACGAGCGCAACCCUCGCUGUGUGUUAUAUGUGUCACACGGGACUGCCGGUCUUAAGCCGGAGGAAGGUGGGGAUGACGUCAAAUCAUCAUGCCCUUUAUGUUCUGGGCUACACACGUGCUACAAUGGCUGGUACAGAGGGCGGCGAAGGAGUGAUCUGGAGCGAAUCCCAAAAAGCCGGUCUCAGUUCGGAUUGCAGGCUGCAACUCGCCUGUAUGAAGUCGGAAUCGCUAGUAAUCGCGAGUCAGCAUAUCGCGGUGAAUACGUUCCCGGGUCUU
rnacentral:rRNA from 1 species